CUGGUUAAUGAAAUGGGCCACCUUAUUACAGGAAGCGACUUGCUUUUACUUUCCUUUGCUUUGGGGAGCUUACUAAUACUCGGUGAUCUUCUCAAUCUUCUUUGCUUCAAUCUGGAUUCCGCCGGCGUUGUACUUCUGCUUCUUCUUCACAGAUGCUUCCACAAAAUGGUUACUAGCCACUACCUUAGACCUCUCCUCCAUUCAAUCUCGGAGUUGAGUCUAUACCUCUAUAUGUAGGUGCCUCAUCAGCUCUUUGAGGGUCAUGCCUAUGGGUUUAUGUUUCAAGACAUUUAAGUAGUCCUUAAAUAAUGGUGGCAACUUAGCAAUGAUUGCUACUUGGAAGGCCUUGUCCAAUUUCAUGCUGCCUAAGAUUAUCUCAUUAGCGAUUAUCUGCAGUUCAUGCACUUGAGUGAGAACUUGUUUGUCACCGUCGAGUCUCUACCUCUGUAUGUAGGUGCCUCAUCUCUUUGAGGGUCCUUCCAUGAUGGUGGCAACUUAGCAAUGAUAGCUCUACUUGGAAGGCCUUCUCCAGUUUCAUGCUGCCUGAGAAUAUCUCACCUGCAGUUCAUGC
rnacentral:lncRNA from 1 species